CACGUAGGGUGCGAGCGUUGUCCGGAAUUAUUGGGCGUAAAGAGCUCGCAGGCGGUGUGUCGCGUCGGCCGUGAAAACCUGCAGCUUAACUGUGGGCUUGCGGUCGAUACGGGCAUCACUGGAGUUCGGCAGGGGAGACUGGAAUUCCUGGUGUAGCGGUGAAAUGCGCAGAUAUCAGGAGGAACACCGGUGGCGAAGGCGGGUCUCUGGGCCGAUACUGACGCUGAGGAGCGAAAGCGUGGGGAGCGAACAGG
rnacentral:rRNA from 1 species